rnacentral:lncRNA from 1 species
GAUGGCACCCAGUGAGGACACAGACAGGAGUGGCCCUUGGCAAGGACACUGGGCAGGAUGGCACCUGGUGAGGACACUGGGCAGGAUGGCACCCGAUGAGGACACACAGCAGGAUGGCACCUGGUGAGGACAUGGGGCAGGAGUGGCACCCGGUGAGGACACAGACAGGAGUGGCCCUUGGCGAGGACACGGGGCAGGAUGGCACCCGAUGAGGACAUGGGACACACAGCAGGAUGGCACCCGGUGAGGACACACAGCAGGAUGGCACCCGGUGAGGACAUGGGACACACAGCAGGAUGGCACCCAGUGAGGACACACAGCAGGAUGGCACCCGGUGAGGACACACAGCAGGAUGGCACCCAGUGAGGACAUGGGACACACAGCAGGAUGGCACCUGUCCCCUCCCGAGGCUGGAUUGUCCCCGAUGGUUCCUCUGGGCCUCGCCUGGGCUUUGGAUGCUCCCUUCUGUCCGCAGCUGGAAUGGCAGGGCCGUUCCUCCUGCUCCUCCCAAAUCCCGUGGAUUUACUGCUUCUGGCUGCUUUUCCAUCGUCCUGCUGGGACUGGCUCUGGCACAGGGAAUCUCCGAGGGACGGAUGGGGACAAGCAGCACCUGCAGCCUGAGCCUGCCAUUCCCUCUUUUUCUGGGCUGCUCUGAGCGUGCUGGCUCUGCAGGAGGAAGGAUUCCAUGCCCUGCUGGAGGACAAAUCCUGCUGCUCUGAUGUUGUAACCUUUGGAAGGGAUUUCCCAUGGAUCUGACCCAUGUCCCCAGUGCCACAGGUUCCCUUUGGAAGAAGGGAUUUCCCACGGCUUGGGCACCACCAAAGUGGGAGCACAUCCCAGGGUCCCUGCUGGAGGCUCGGGGUGAGUGAGGGACAGAAGGACAGCCAGGACAGCCAGGACCAUCUCCCGAGGACAGGAUGGACACUGCAGCUGGACAGAGGGACAGAAGGACAGCCAGGACCAUCUCCCAAGGACAGGACAGACAGUGCUGGGCUGCACAUCCCUGCAGGAGCUGAGCUCCUCCCCGCGGCACUGACAGCACUCAGGAGCAAUUUCUGCUGGACUUUGGGAAUUUGGGAAUUUUCCUUGUGGAUCCUGGCCAUGGAUGGACGCUGAAGAGCUCCUGGCUCAAGCAGGAGCUCAGUGCUUUUCUCUGGCAAGGACCAAGCCCUUCCCUGCUUUCCAAUGGAUAUUUUUGGUUUUUAUUUUUGCUGGUUUUGGGGGUUUGGGUGUUUCCUGAGGCUGCUGGAGCUGCAGUGGAUCCAUGGUGGGACUGGAGCCUUUGAGAAGCAGGAGCUGAGCUGGGCCUGGGGCUCCAGACUGGCUCACCCUGGGCUGGGGGGCUCAGGAGGGUCCUGGUGCCACAGCUGGAGCAUCCCAGAGGAUCCCAGGGUGGGAAUGGGGGGAAGCCAAACCCAGCAUGGGGAGUGUCACCCUCAGAGACAAUUAAACUGCAUUUAAUUAAUUUAAUAAACCCCAUUGGCUCUGUGAGUGCUGGAUGUUG